rnacentral:rRNA from 1 species
AGCGAACGCUGGCGGCAGGCCUAACACAUGCAAGUCGAACGAAGCCUUCGGGCUUAGUGGCGGACGGGUGAGUAACACGUGGGAACGUACCUUUUGGUUCGGAACAACUCAGGGAAACUUGAGCUAAUACCGGAUGAGCCCUUAGGGGGAAAGAUUUAUCGCCGAAAGAGCGGCCCGCGUUAGAUUAGCUAGUUGGUGAGGUAAAGGCUCACCAAGGCAACGAUCUAUAGCUGGUCCGAGAGGAUGAUCAGCCACACUGGGACUGAGACACGGCCCAGACUCCUACGGGAGGCAGCAGUGGGGAAUCUUGCGCAGUGGGCGAAAGCCUGACGCAGCCAUGCCGCGUGAAUGAUGAAGGUCUUAGGAUUGUAAAAUUCUUUUACCAGGGACGAUAAUGACGGUACCUGGAGAAAAAGCCCCGGCUAACUUCGUGCCAGCAGCCGCCGUAAUAC